GGUCUGAUGGAAGUUGGAUGUGGAGAAGAGGGUCACUCCUCUAGGUGGGAGAUGUGCCCUCCAUGUGGGACUCCAAGUGGGAGCAGCUCCGGGAUGAACACAAGAUGACUCUCCAGACUUCAGAGCAGAGAGAACAUUCUCCCAAGGGCCAGACUGUGAAAAUGGGGGACUUAGAGUGAGAGUG
rnacentral:lncRNA from 1 species